AGCGAACGCUGGCGGCGUGCCUAACACAUGCAAGUCGAACGUGAAAAGGGGCAACCCUGAGUAAAGUGGCGUACGGGUGAGUAACACGUGGGUAAUCUACCUUAAAGCCUGGAAUAACCUGCCGAAAGGCGGGCUAAUACUGGAUAGAGCGAGAAGUUUUUAAUGAACUUUUCGGGAAAGGAAGCUCGCAAGAGCCUUCACUUUAAGAUGAGCCCGCGUCUCAUUAGCUAGUUGGUAGGGUAAUGGCCUACCAAGGCAUUGAUGAGUAGCUGGUCUAAGAGGACGAUCAGCCACACUGGAACUGAAACACGGUCCAGACUCCUACGGGAGGCAGCAGUGGGAAUAUUGCGCAAUGGACGAAAGUCUGACGCAGCAACGCCGCGUGAGUGAAGAAGGCCUUCGGGUUGUAAAGCUCUGUCUAGUGGGACGAAAACCUACGAGUUAAUAGCUCGUAGCUUGACGGUACUACUGAAGAAAGCACCAACUAACUCUGUGCCAGCCGCCGCCGUAA
rnacentral:rRNA from 1 species